GAUGAACGCUGACGGCGUGCCUAAUACAUGCAAGUCGAGCGAACGGACGAGAAGCUUGCUUCUCUGAUGUUAGCGGCGGACGGGUGAGUAACACGUGGAUAACCUACCUAUAAGACUGGGAUAACUUCGGGAAACCGGAGCUAAUACCGGAUAAUAUUUUGAACCGCAUGGUUCAAAAGUAAAAGACGGUCUUGCUGUCACUUAUAGAUGGAUCCGCGCUGCAUUAGCUAGUUGGUAAGGUAACGGCUUACCAAGGCAACGAUGCAUAGCCGACCUGAGAGGGUGAUCGGCCACACAGGAACUGAGACACGGUCCAGACUCCUACGGGAGGCAGCAGUAGGGAAUCUUCCGCAAUGGGCGAAAGCCUGACGGAGCAACGCCGCGUGAGUGAUGAAGGUCUUCGGAUCGUAAAACUCUGUUAUUAGGGAAGAACAUAUGUGUAAGUAACUGUGCACAUCUUGACGGUACCUAAUCAGAAAGCCACGGCUAACUACGUG
rnacentral:rRNA from 1 species